UGCUCUAGUGAGUGUCGUAUGUUUCCUGAUCAGACAUAAAGUGUAAUAUCACAGAUAUAUACUACAUUUAUGCAGGCCAAUAAUAACAACUUUAAAUUGAGAAAGUUUCUGACAGUAAAGCUAACAAAAGGCUAGGAUAGGUUGCCUAGGGAGAUUGUGAGGUUGCCAUCACUUAUGACAUCAUCUUUAAAGUGUGCUGUGAAGAGUAUAUUCCUUACGAAUAUGCCUGGAAUUAGGCUUGGAGGCAAGAAGAUGAAUUAGAUGGUGGUUUGAAUCUCUCUGAGGACUGUACUCAAGGAUCUUCUGCUCCUAAUAAGUAUUCAAUCACAAAGUCUUCUGAACAAAGUCCUCAGGGCUUGGUGAUUCACACAAGAAGAGCCUUUGGAAGGUCAUCGCCCAACAUCACUGGUGUUUAAAAAGCUGCUGUCCCAGGGAUGUCAUGACUUGAGCACUUCUGCUGAGAUCAAUCCAUAAAGAAUGCAUUUUUUUACAACUGA